rnacentral:lncRNA from 1 species
UUGGGAUUAAAUAUCAUAGGAGAGAUGGAGGAAGGUUGUAGAAAAAGGGCUCAGUAAAGGUGAAAGGAGCCUUGCCUCCAUCGAAGAGUAAUCAUCCAAUUCUUGGCUCUCCACUCACGACCGAGGCCUCCAGAAAAAACAUAUCACCUACUCCUUGCUUUAGAAAUCACCAACAACACACACCAGCACAAUAUGGUGAUAUGAUCACCAUGGAGAGCGACAUGGGGUGAGAAGGGGAGGGGCUGACCAAGAGAGGAAGUAAGCAGAGAGCCCAACUGCUUGGAAGCAAAUCCAGAAGCACAUUUGAAUCAAUUAAGACGUGCAGGAGAGGAGUGAGUGUCUGAGAAAAAUAAGCCUAAGAUUGGAGCUAAACAUCAUCAAUAUUAAAGUGGGGUUCACAAGCACAUCUUAGAACAUUUCUUUUCCCUCUACCAACAACAAAAAGCACCUUCCAUGGAGAGCAGCGCAACAAUUAGGUGCUCAAUAAUAUAUUGGGCCAAGAGAGAUGUGCCAACUGUUAGAAGAAGAACUAGCAUCCCUUCUUUAGUUCUACUCAUAAAAUACUUAAACUUUGGCUAAAAGCCUAAAACUCUAACACAAGGAUCAAUCUGCACAUCUAGAGCACUCAGGUAUGUAGCUUUGAGUACAGAGUUGCAGACUAGAUAGGCUUAUGAAGAACCAAAAAAAGAGCACUUACUACUAGGUUAGGGAAGUCGCUGUCCGAGUUCGAACCCCAACACAACACCACACAAGUACACAGCAGCAUGCAUGGGCUCCUUGGCUCUGUCCCUGACCUGCAAGCAUAUGAGAGGAAGAAAUCGAAGGGGAAAUCAGUAUAUAGCAACCAUAAUCCAUACAGAUUAUUCUGGAGUCAAAAUCUUUUAAAAGCCCCAACCAUGAUUGUUGAUCUGGUGUUGAUAACUUGAACAACAUGGAAGAAGAGGAAAGAAAGCACGCAGAGAGAGAGAGAGAGAGAGUAUUAUGGGGCCUGUUUGGGUGGAAAACUCCAAGCAGUUGCCUGCCAGCCAAGCCAUCCUGGCCACAGGCAGACAAAAUCAGAUGCCUAGGGGCUGCUGCCUGGCAGGCAACCUUGCCUGGCUGCACAACCAAACAGCCCUAAGUGGUUGUGUGUGCACAGAAAGAGAAUAUAAUAUUUUAUAUUUGUCAAAUGAAUAGUGUGUUUACAAAAGGAGGAAAAAGAUACUUCAUGACUUUAAUUGAUGAUGCAACUAAAUAUUGCCAUGUGUUUCUUCUAAAAACUAAAGAUGAGGCGUUUGAAUGUUUUAAGACUUAUAAGGCUGAGGUAGAGAACCAAUUAGAAAAGAAAAUCAAGCGUGUUAGGUCUGAUCGUGGUGGAGAGUAUUUUUCCAAUGAGUUCGAUCUUUUCUGUGUGGAUAAUGGAAUAAUUCAAGAACGGACACCACCAUAUUUGCCCCAAUCUAAUGGGGUUGUCGAAAGAAAGAACCGGACGCUGAUGGACUUAGUGAAUGCCAUGUUAGGAACAUCCGGUAUGGCUAAAACAUGGUGGGGGAGGCUGUUUUAACAGCAUGACAUAUUCUAAAUAGAGUUCCAACUAUGAAUAGUGAAGUUACUCCGUAUGAAUGAUGGAAAGGAAGGAAACCAUCACUCCAUUACUUGCGUACGUGGGGCUGUUUGGCCAUAGUUAGCGUACCAAUUAAUAAGAAACACAAGCUUGGACCAAAGACCGUUGAUUGUAUCUGUUUGGGUUAUGCGCACCAUAGCACAGUUUAUAAGUUCUUAGUGAUAAAAUCUAAAGCACCUGAUGUUUUAGUUGAUACACUUUUAGAGUCACAGGAUGUUACUUUCUUUAAGAAUAUUUUCCCGAUGAAUAUUGCUAAUUCUUUACCGAGUACGUCUAAUGAAUUUAUUAUUCCUGAGCCCACACCCUCAAUAGAGCCAAUUAUAGACCCAGUUGGUAUUGAAGAGGAUAACAAUAUUGUAGCUCCUAGAAGGAGUAAGAGACAAAGGGUUGAAAAAUCCUUUGGUGAUGACUUCAUUAUCUAUCUUAUAGAUGAUACUCCCACGACCAUUGCAGAGGCAUAUGCAUCACCAGAUACAGAUUAUUGGAAGGAUGCAGUCCGUAGUGAGAUGCACUCCAUCACUGCAAAUGGAACAUGGGAAGUAUGCGUUGCAAUGGGAGAGAAAAGGUUAUCAAAUAUUUAUAAAGAGAUGAAAAUAAUACUUACUCUAUCCUUUCUAUAAAUUUUAAAAGUUAUAGUUUAUUGUAAGAUGAAUAUAACAUUCAAAAUAUAUAAGUUAAUAUUGGUAAUAAUAUGACAAUGUCUUUAUUACACUAUUACAUGUUGUUACAAUUAAAUAUUAAGCUCUCCCUCUGUUGUCUGCUGUUGUGCCACCCACACCGCUCCUCGGUAGUCACGACGCAUCCAGGCCAUCCCUUGCCGCUUGUGCCGCCCGGCCCUCCCUUGCCGUUUGCGUGGUUGUUUCCCUCUGCUUCCACCCGGGCAGCGGCCUCCUUUAGUUCUCCGCAAACCUAGAUUGUUGUUCUCUGCUCCAUUUACCUAGAUUCUCGCGGGCUCGUAGGCGGCAGCCACAGGAGCUCGCCUCUUCGAGGAGAUGGCGCAGUCCUAGGGCGGCGUGGAUGCAUCUGAGCACGCGCGCACAGAGGAGGCGAUGGCGCGGGUACCCUGGCCGGCGAGUGCAGAGGUGGUGGCGCGGGGGCCUCAGGCUGCCUGUCCUCUUCGAUCCUUUCUCGUCGAUUCUUUCUUUGAGUUCGUCUUCUAUCGGAAUCAUUUUUUGUCGAUUGUUGUGGAGGUUGACAUAGAAUCAAUUUUUUUUGUUGAUUGUUGUUGAGUUCUGCAGAGUUUUAAUUUGACUUUAUAAGUUGUCUUUCUAGCUAGAUUUAUUCUAAUUUGGAUUGGAUUUGGAUUUGGAUCGAUGUCAGUCUUGAUUUGGUCCCUUGCACUUUGCUUGGAGAUUUGAAAAAUCUUAAGCACAUAGAUUUGUGAGAAAUCUAGUUGAUAUCGAAGUGUGCAUGGUUACGGAUUGGGCAUCAAGUAGAGAUAAUGCAGAGGCCAGACGAACACAGAAAAUUGAUUUCUAUAUUUCUAUUGUAUUUCUAUUUGGAUUGGGUCUUGGUUUCUUAACUCUGCAACGAGGUAUAGCUGGGCAAAUAAAUAGACAAAACCAAAAAAAAAAAAAAAAUUAGACUAAAAAGUGGCUAAAAUUUUAUCUCUUUAUUAUUAGUUAUAGAUAUAGAUUUAGAGUCAGUAUUCGCUUGUGUGAAAAGCCAUAACUGAUUUGCUGAUUUUUUUAUGAGAGAAAAAUACUAGUGAGUGGCUGAUAGAUUCACUCAAGCGAACAAAAUCUUAAUGCCCUAUACAUAUAUUUAAACAUAUGUUUAAACAUUUGAGUCGACGAAGUGAAAAUUUCUUUUUGAAACCAACGAUGGCAUAUACAUUUGGAGAAAACACAUGUGUCGCGCGCGUGCGUGCGCUCGAGUGGAAACAGAGAUAAACCAUGAGUAAAAAGCGGCCACACAAAGAUAUAUAUAUAUAUAGGCGCGAGAGCAACCGGACGGCGCACGGACACCGUUCUGCCUCCGUUCUCAGCUCUCACCCGGCACAGCACAGACGCGAGCUGAGCACAGCAGAGAGUGCCGCGGUUGUCGCGCAGGCACGCGUUCCGGUCUUAUCCACUCCGGCGCGGUGAGACGAAGCAGUGCGGGCGACCUUCUUGUCUCUGUCGAUCCACGUCGACACGGCCAAGGCCUUCUUUAUUACUAUCCUCCUGCCUCCCCGUCACUGAUCCCUCCCGGACCUCACCAGGCGCGACCGGAUCCGCGGCCACUAUUAUUAUUUUACCUCCUUUCCCCUUUCCAUCGCCGAUUCCUUGCCUCCUCCCGUCGGCUCCUUCCAUGGAGAUCUCCUUCGAGGCGUGGGAGGGCGUGCACCGGCACAGCCAGGACCUCGCGGACCGCCUCGCGCAGGGCUUCACGGGCCUGCUCCAGGUGCCGUCAUAGUUCCCGUGGCCCCCCGCGCCGCACAAGCGGAUGCCCAUGCCCUUCGAUAUCGACCUCCCCGUCGUCCCCUUCGGCGGCGCUCGCGGCCGCGGCGUCCCGAGGAAGGACUUCCCCUUCCCUGCCACCGCCGUCUCCUCCGUCAUCGACAUCGGCGGCAUGCUGGGCCAGGCCGAGGUCGACAUAGAUUCAAUUUUUGUUGAUUGUUGUGGAGGUCUGCAGAGUAUUUAUUUGACUUUAUAAGUUGUCCUUUUCUAGCUACAUUUAGUCUAAUUUGGAUUGGAUUUGGAUUUGGAUCCAUGUGGUGGAUUUGAUUCAGUCUCGAUUUGGUCCCUUGCACUUUGGUUGGAGAUUUGAAAAAUCUUGAGCACGUAGAUUUGUGAGAAAUCUAGUUGAGUGUGCAUGAUUACGGAUUGGGCAUUGUAAUACCCGAGGACAAAACCAGAUACGCACCAUAUGUGAGUCUUAGAAACCAAAUCUCACAUAUAGCUACAAAUAAGGGGUAAUAUCAAAAGACAAUGCAUAAAUAUAUAACGUACUCAGUAUAAAAGAUAUAACCUUUGAUAGCAAACAGUGGAUAGACAACUCCAAACUUCGGGUAUUAACUUCUCUCUACAGGAUCCAACUGACUGGUUGAUCACGAGCCCAAAACUUCUCCUGAGGUGUGGGGGAAAUUGCAAGAGUGAGCACAUAUCGUACUCAACAAGUAUAACCAGGGGUUCAUGAGGCUCAAUUAGCUGACACUGGUUUGACUGCAUUUAGCUUUUAUAUGUAGAUAGUAUUUUUAUAUUUAGAUAGCAAAUGCCAAGGUAGCAUAAUUAAAGCCCAUAACCACAUGAUCAAAUGUAUACAAGAAUUAUGAAUAACACAUAUAAACAACAUAAUAAACCAUCUUUUAUUAUCAUUAAUCAUAUUCAUCAGUGUCCAUCUAUUCCGUCAGUUUUCCGGGCCACCCGUAUCCGUGGGCACGGCUAGUAUACCAGAUUUAACACUCUGCAGAGGUUGUACAUCUUUACCCAUGAGUCAUGAUUUACCCUUUCGCCCGAGGUCAUGAGUCUCUUAACCCCCUUCCUAGGAAGGUCGGCAGGGAUCACUAUGAAGUCUUUCAAAGGUUCGUCUAACAAGUUAGGGCCGCUUAGUUUCAUUAGUCAGUCCAUGUGAUUCACCCGCAGGAAUCCACGGUCUGCUAUUCCCCAAUUGCGCCACACGGGUAACCGCUAACGAGCUAGAAAAGUUACUCAUGCUUGACUAAAGCCAGAGCCAUAUAGCCCUCAUUGUUGUACGAGUUGUCCCAGCUUUUGCCAAGGGAUAAGUCCUUAUGGAGGGUCAAGAUCAAUCUAGCAAAAGCCAGAGUUCUUUCCACCCUUUAUAUUCAAGUUGCUAGAAAGCUUAUUUUAUUGUUUAUUGUAUAUGUAUAUCCAAAUAUUCAUGUUACAAGAUCAUGGAUUAUUAAUCAAGCACUAGCAAGAACUAUCCAAAUGCAUAUCCAAAAAGGUAACAAGGAAUUCAGAAUAACAAUCAUCUAUGAUUUUGCUAAGGUCAUCAAGGUGGACACAUGCAUAUGAUAUAUAUUGUAUUAAUUGUGUAUAGGUAACAAGGAUAGUCCCAAGUUAUACUUGCCUUGAUCAAAGCUCUCCUGAGCCUGCUGCUGGUUGUCAAAAGCUUGACCUUGAUCACCAACGUAAAGCUCACCGA